CAAGAUCGUACCACUGCACACCAGGCUGGGCAACAGAGCGAUACUCCAUUUCAAACAAAACAAAACAAAACGAGGUAAGAGAAAAACCUCAACCUGUACACCUCUUUAUGACAGAACAACACAGAAAGAGAAAGACAAAGAAAAGACUACUCUAGGAGGAAAUGGAUGAAACAAUAUGAUUCAUACCACAAAGUACCAGAAAGUACACCAGAGUCAAUACACCAGCACUGGUCACACAAAUCCUUUUCUCCCAUCAGUCAAGAUUUUGGACAGGAAAAAUGAACAAAGAGUGAUAUUUACUGUCUACUUGACCACAUUCCACAGAGAGGGGCCUGGAAUCUGACUGAUAAGAAAUUCUUAUCCUUAGGCUGGCUGAUCAGCUCCUGGUUUUCCUUAACUGUGGACUUCCAAAAGAGCCAAACUUUGGGUUCCUGAUUACAACAUCAAAUUUCUAGGGGCCAAGGGAAAUCUUUCUCUUAGCACUCUGAAAGUUUGUUGUAAAAUCAACUCACAAAAACAGAAGAUUAACAGGGGAAAACACAUACAAAAUGUAUGAUUGCCCAACCCCCCAGUGAGGUGCAGGAGCUUAUAUACCAGCUUGAGGUUACAGAAAGAAGUGGAUCAUGGCAGAACUGGUUAUAGGACGGAGAGAAGAUGAGGUCUGCUAGCAAUGGUAGUCUUGUUAUGUACAUGAAAUCUCACAGAUAGCAUCCCUCAGAGAAUUGUUUCCUUAAGACCUUUAAAUGUGUCAGGCUCUCAUUAAUCCUUCCUACAUCUGGAAAAGAGAAGGCCUGUAUAUAUCAAGGCAGAUUUUCUACAGAUGCAAAUUUUUCCCACACACAAUGGCAUUGCAAGGCUACUUCUUUUGCUGCCUCUGACAGCCAUCUUAAAAUAUGUCAAAGAAAUAUAUUUUGGGGUAAGACAUUUUUAUUUCUUUCAAAGUGGAAUAUUAAGUGUAUAUCUCUUAUAGAUAUGCUAUUAAAUAAAUAAGGGAAUCCACUUUUUCUAUUUUCUAUUUGUUAAGAUAUUUUUUGUUUUAAUAAUGAAGAGAGGUUAACUUUUAAAAAGGUUUUCUACAUCUACUGAUACUAUCAUGCAGUUUUAUUUAUUUUUACAGUUAAUGCGGUGAAUAAUAUUGACUGAUUUUCAAAUGUGAGUUCCUGGAGUAAAUCCUACUAUAUCAUGAUGUGCUUUUAAAAUAUAUAUAUUGCUGGAUUCAGUAUGCUAAUACACUAAUAAUUUUUAACAUCUGUGAUCAUGAGAGACAUUGGCUGACCAAAAAUGGGAAACUGACAAGAGUAAUAAACAAAAUGGGCUUAUAAAUAUUCAUACCUGCUUGAUACUUAAAAAGGCCUUUUAAUGUAUUUUUCUGCCCCACUCAGGCGGACUUUUAAAUAUCUGGCAAGAGGUCUCAUUCAGGCUAUUCAAAGGUCAAUAUUAAUCUGAAUUAUUCCACGUUUGUAGGCAUCCUCAUUAUCUUUUCAAUACAGAUUGAAUUAUUGGGGAUUCAAACGGCAGAGGAAAAAGUCAAAGCAUAUAAGGAACAGAAACAGCACACUCAGACAUGAAAAACUGUCCUGGCUUAAAGGGUUCCUUUCCUCUCAGGGUUAAUGUCACUAGCCAGGUUCCUAAGCUACGUGGAACACCCAGGACCAGAAGAAUAUAAAAUUGCAAAAGCUGGUUGCUCCUGAGUCCAAGAGUUCCUGGUUUUCCUGGACACAAACGAUAGCGCAGCCCUUUCUUCCCCAUGUGCCAGAGGCCUGGGGUUCUGCAGAAGAGGCCUGGAGGACCCAGACACUGCAAGGCCUGCGCUCAGUAUAUUCUGGGCCCUGUCCUCUCACCUUCUAUUUCUUGUAUGGCCCCCAUACUCAUGCCAGCUAUCCUAGAACAGUCAAGAGUUCAAUUGUGACCUGCUUCCUCCCUCACCCUCUUCUCCCCAACCUCCACACCACACUUCUUCUUUGGGAAGAUUUGUAAAAAUUAAAGUUAUUAUAUCCAUGUAA